rnacentral:rRNA from 1 species
CCCGCGCCGUAUUAGCUAGUUGGUGGGGUAACGGCCUACCAAGGCGACGAUACGUAGCCGACCUGAGAGGGUGAUCGGCCACACUGGAACUGAGACACGGUCCAGACUCCUACGGGAGGCAGCAGUAGGGAAUCUUCCGCAAUGGGCGAAAGCCUGACGGAGCAACGCCGCGUGAGUGAUGAAGGUCUUCGGAUCGUAAAGCUCUGUUGUUAGGGAAGAACAAAUGUGUAAGUAACUGUGCACAUCUUGACGGUACCUAACCAGAAAGCCACGGCUAACUACGUGCCAGCAGCCGCGGUAAUACGUAGGUGGCAAGCGUUAUCCGGAAUUAUUGGGCGUAAAGCGCGCGUAGGCGGUUUUUUAAGUCUGAUGUGAAAGCCCACGGCUCAACC